AACGCGAAGAACCUUACCUGGGUUUGACAUUUAGGGAAAAGCCGUAGAGAUACGGUGUCCUUCGGGGUCCUAAACAGGUGGUGCAUGGCUGUCGUCAGCUCGUGUCGUGAGAUGUUGGGUUAAGUCCCGCAACGAGCGCAACCCUUAUUCUAUGUUGCCAGCGCGUAAUGGCGGGGACUCGUAGGAGACUGCCGGGGUCAACUCGGAGGAAGGUGGGGAUGACGUCAAGUCCUCAUGCCCCUUAUGUCUUGGGCUGCAAACAUGCUACAAUGGCCGGUACAAAGGGUUGCGAGACCGCAAGGUGGAGCGAAUCCCAAAAAGCCGGUCUCAGUUCGGAUUGGGGUCUGCAACUCGACCCCAUGAAGUCGGAGUCGCUAGUAAUCGCGAAUCAGCAACGUCGCGGUGAAUACGUUCCCGGGCCUUGUACACACCGCGCAUA
rnacentral:rRNA from 1 species